rnacentral:rRNA from 1 species
AUUGAACGCUGGCGGCAGGCUUAACACAUGCAAGUCGAGCGGAGAUGAGGUGCUUGCACCUUAUCUUAGCGGCGGACGGGUGAGUCAUGCUUAGGAAUCUGCCUAUAGUGGGGGACAACAUUCCGAAAGGAAUGCUAAUACCGCUUACGUCCUACGGGAGAAAGCAGGGGAUCUUCGGACCUGGCGCUGAUAGAUGAGCCUAAGUCGGAUGAGCUAGUUGGUGGGGUAAAGGCCUACCAAGGCGACGAUCUGUACCGGGUCUGAGAGGAUGAUCCGCCACACUGGGACUGAGACACGGCCCAGACUCAUACGGGAGGCAGCAGUGGGGAAUAUUGGACAAUGGGGGGAACCCUGAUCCAGCCAUGCCGCGUGUGUGAAGAAGGCCUUAUGGCUGUAAAGCACUUUAAGCGAGGAGGAGGCUACUGAGACUAAUACUCUUGGAUAGUGGACGUUACUCGCAGAAUAAGCACCGGCUAACUCUGUGCCAGCCGCCGCGGUAACAC